CGACCGGCGCACGGGUGCGUAACGCGUAUGCGACCUACCUUUAACAGGGGGAUAACACUGAGAAAUUGGUACUAAUACCCCAUAAUAUCAUAGAAGGCAUCUUUUAUGGUUGAAAAUUCCGAUGGUUAGAGAUGGGCAUGCGUUGUAUUAGCUAGUUGGUGGGGUAACGGCUCACCAAGGCGACGAUACAUAGGGGGACUGAGAGGUUAACCCCCCACACUGGUACUGAGACACGGACCAG
rnacentral:rRNA from 1 species